UCUAGUCUAUCAGGUUUGCCAUGCUGUGGGGCAGUGGCUGGAUGGGAGGGGACUUGCAGCCCUAUCUCUGGUGCAACCCCCGUCCCCACAGGUCUAGAGCCUGAGAUCCAGA
ensembl:miRNA predicted gene, 25948